rnacentral:misc_RNA from 1 species
ACGAGUUUUGAAAUGGGUUGUAGCUGGCCUUACGAAGGCAUGUGCACACCCUGCUCAUCCACCCUCAUACCCCUGUGCACCUAUUGUAGGCUUGGUGGGAAGACUGGUGUCACAACCAGUCGGAAAGCCUUGCCUAUGUUUUAACACAAACGCUUCAGUUUUAGAAUGUCACAUUUGCGUCUAACGCAUGAAAUA